ensembl:snRNA U6 U6 spliceosomal RNA
CUGCUCGCUUUGGUAGCACAUAUACUAGAAUUGGAACAAUGUAGAUUAGCAUGGCCCUUGUGCAAGGAUGACACACAAAUUCAUGAAGUGUUCCAUAUUAAA